UAGGGAAUCUUCGGCAAUGGACGAAAGUCUGACCGAGCAACGCCGCGUGAGUGAAGAAGGUUUUCGGAUCGUAAAACUCUGUUGUUAGAGAAGAACAAGGACGUUAGUAACUGAACGUCCCCUGACGGUAUCUAACCAGAAAGCCACGGCUAACUACGUGCCAGCAGCCGCGGUAAUACGUAGGUGGCAAGCGUUGUCCGGAUUUAUUGGGCGUAAAGCGAGCGCAGGCGGUUUCUUAAGUCUGAUGUGAAAGCCCCCGGCUCAACCGGGGAGGGUCAUUGGAAACUGGGAGACGUGAGUGCAGAAGAGGAGAGUGGAAUUCCAUGUGUAGCGGUGAAAUGCGUAGAUAUAUGGAGGAACACCAGUGGCGAAGGCGGCUCUCUGGUCUGUAACUGACGCUGAGGCUCGAAAGUGUGGGGAGCAAACAGG
rnacentral:rRNA from 1 species